GAUGAACGCUAGCUACAGGCUUAACACAUGCAAGUCGAGGGGAAACGACAUCGAAAGCUUGCUUUUGAUGGGCGUCGACCGGCGCACGGGUGAGUAACGCGUAUCCAACCUGCCCAUCACUUGGGAAUAACCUUGCGAAAGUAAGACUAAUACCCAAUGAUAUCCCACGAAGGCAUCGGAAUGGGAUUAAAGAUUUAUCGGUGAUGGAUGGGGAUGCGUCUGAUUAGCUUGUUGGCGGGGUAACGGCCCACCAAGGCAACGAUCAGUAGGGGUUCUGAGAGGAAGGUCCCCCACAUUGGAACUGAGACACGGUCCAAACUCCUACGGGAGGCAGCAGUGAGGAAUAUUGGUCAAUGGGCGAGAGCCUGAACCAGCCAAGUAGCGUGCAGGAAGACGGCCCUAUGGGUUGUAAACUGCUUUUAUAAGGGAAUAAAGUGGGUCACGUGUGACUUUUUGCAUGUACCUGAUGAAUAAGGACCGGCUAAUUCCGUG
rnacentral:rRNA from 1 species